AAGUGGCGAACGGGUGAGUAACACGUAGGUGACCUGCCCCGAAAAGGGGGAUAACUCCUCGAAAGAGGAGCUAACACCCCGGAUGUCUAACGUUAGAAAAGUUAGACUAAAACCCUGGUGUUUCGGGAGGGGCCUGCGGGCUAUCAGCUAGUUGGUGGGGUAAAGGCCUACCAAGGCGAAGACGGCUAGGGGGCGUGAGAGCGUGAUCCCCCACAAGGGAACUGAGAAACGGUCCCUACUCCUACGGGAGGCAGCAGUGAGGAAUAUUGAGCAAUGGGCGCAAGCCUGACUCAGCAACGCCGCGUGGAUGACGAAGGCCUUCGGGUUGUAAAAUCCUUUUCUGCGGGAAGAUAAUGACGGUACCGCAGGAAUAAGUUCCGGCUAACUACGUGCCAGCAGCCGCGGUAAAACGUAGGGGACAAGCGUUAUCCGGAUUUACUGGGCGUAAAGCGCCCGUAGGCGGCCUGUCAAGUUGGAUGUGAAAGCUCCUGGCUUAACUGGGAGAGGUCAUUCAAAACUGACAGGCUAGAGGAUGGAAGAGGAGAGCGGAAUUCCCGGUGUAGUGGUGGAAUGCGUAGAGAUCGGGAGGAACACCAGUGGCGAAAGCGGCUCUCUGGUCCGUACC
rnacentral:rRNA from 1 species